GCCCCCAUGGUGUAGCGGCUAGCACGCGAGCCUUUCACGCUCGAGGCAGGGGUUCGAUUCCCCUUGGGGGUA
rnacentral:tRNA from 1 species